rnacentral:rRNA from 1 species
AGUGAACGCUGGCGGUAGGCCUAACACAUGCAAGUCGAACGGCAGCACAGUAAGAGCUUGCUCUUACGGGUGGCGGGUGGCGGACGGGUGAGGAAUACAUCGGAAUCUACUUUUUCGUGGGGGAUAACGUAGGGAAACUUACGCUAAUACCGCAUACGACCUACGGGUGAAAGCAGGGGAUCUUCGCGCCUUGCGCGGUUGAAUGAGCCGAUGUCGGAUUAGCUAGUUGGAGGGGUAAAGGCCCACCAAGGCGACGAUCCGUAGCUGGUCUGAGAGGAUGAUCAGCCACACUGGAACUGAGACACGGUCCAGACUCCUACGGGAGGCAGCAGUGGGGAAUAUUGGACAAUGGGCGCAAGCCUGAUCCAGCCAUACCGCGUGGGUGAAGAAGGCCUUCGGGUUGUAAAGCCCUUUUGUUGGGAAAGAAAAGCAGCAGGUUAAUACCCCGCUGUUCUGACGGUACCCAAAGAAUAAGCACCGGCUAACUUCGUG